CCGCCCGCCUCCUCUUCCGCUGGCACCACUCCUCCCCCCUCUCCAAGUUCGCCUUCUGGGCCGAACAUGAGUUUCUGGUCCUGCUGAGCGUCGAGGGUGUGAAGCAGAGAGAAGAGGACACGCCGGAGAGAGUGGGGGUGGGGGGAAAGGGGGUGUAUGAGUAUGAGGCGUUGGCGGGAGAGAAGAGCACACGCCGGAGGCCCUAACCAUCCCAGGAAAACAGUAAAAUCAGAAGUAUCAAGUAGGGACCCUAACCUGAGAGCCGACGACGACGAGCCUCCACGCCUCCACCGGACCCUAGACGAAGAAGACGAUGGUCGACGACGACGACGAGCUCUGGCCCUCUGCAAAUCGCGCUUCAGCAAGAGUGCAAGAUGGCUAGGGCUGGAGCCUGGAAGUCGGCAACCUUGAUAAAAUGGGUAGAAUAGUUUUAAAAUCCCCAAAUGCAAUUCGGGCCCUAAACCGGUUAGUCCCAAAUGCAAUUCGGGCCGUGAAUUUGGGCUUGGUUCGGGCUGUCAUUGGGCUCGGGCUUGGUCCGGGCCCGGGCCGGGCCAAUGGGAAACCCGAGCCCGGCCCGAAAUAAAAUUGGGCUUAAGUUUGCAGCCCGAGCCUGGCCCGAAAUUCAUUGGGUCGAGCCCAUAGCCCGGCCCGCAGGCGGCCCAGCCCGAUGGGCUUCGGGCCGGCCCGAGCCCACUUCCAGCCCUA
rnacentral:lncRNA from 1 species